UCCUUCCUCCCAUGGUUUACAUCCUUCCUCCCAAGGUUUACAUCAAUUCAAUAGUUUCUUUAUUCUAGAACCAGAUUGAAAUGAUAGAAGAAGAAGAACUAGAAGAAUAUGAGGAACCUAUGAGUGCGGAAAAUUCAGCGCAAAAAAAUUCCUCAAAACAGCACAAAUAUAUUUUUGUGGGUUUAUUGCAAAAAAAACUCCAUACAAAAAUUCCCGGCCUUGUCAGAGUCGGCGAGGAGAAAACAAACUGUGAUUGGAUAGACUUUAAAUCCAGAGGAUCCUUGUUUUAUCCAUCCAAAGAUGUAUUGGAGGAAGUUGAAAAAUAUGAGAAAAUAUUUCAAAAAAUACAUGGGGAGUCUUUGGAUAGAGGACAUGCUCCUAUCGAAAAAACAAUUUCAACUAUCACUGCAAUAAACCAAAGAUGGCCUCGGGAGGUUGUAAAACUUUUUGUAAAUUUAAGAUUU